AAGCUGUGCAACCUUGUACCUUCUAAAGCAGUAGCUUUCAGAAUUUUUAAGCCAUAAGUUCAUAGUAAGAAAGUUUUCAUUCCUUCCUGAAACACACAUAAAUACACAUGUAUGUGUAUGUUUGUGCAUGUGUAUAUAUAUACUACAUUUAUUUAUUGUACAUGAAAUAAUGUACUCUAUUAUAGUCUAUUUCAUAUUUAGAAAGUGCUGAUUGUUCCUUCAUUAAUUUCAUCACUUGCCAAAUGCAUCAUGUCCCAGAGUUUAAGAAACAAUACUCCAUAAGGGCAAAUGUUGCAUUCAUAACUUCAGCAUAAGGAGAGUAAGUUGGUUUUGUACAGUAUUAUAAGGUACCUUUUGCUCUGAAAAACCACCCCAAAAUCCAUUGUAUUGAAGCAACUACUAGGGAGUUCCUUGGGGGUCCAGUGGUUAGGACUUGGGGCUCUCAUUGUCGGGGCCUGUGUUCAGUCCCUGGUGAGGGACUGAAAAUCCUGCAAGCUGAGUGGCACAGCCCCCCAAAAAAAUGAAUAAAAUAUAGCAAUUACUGUUUCAUUUAUUCAUAGUUCUGAGUUAGUAUUUUUAGGCUGGGCUGAGGUGGGACAAGAUUUCUCUGCUUCACAGGGUGUAACUGGCUCACCUGGGUGUUUGUGGCCAUUGACCUUACUCAUGAGUGGUUGUGAGCAGAGGGAGGAAUAAUGUGCUGAGUCAGCCAUGUGUACCCCAUCAUCCAGCAGGUUAGCCUGGGAUCAGCUACCUGCUGAUAGCCUCAGGUGUUGUCAGAGCAGCAAGAGAGGGUAGGCCCCCGUAGUCAGGCACUUUAAAGUCUUUGCUUGCCUUAAACGUUUAUUUUUGUCCUUUUGACCAAAGUAAGUUAUGUGGCCAUGUCUGGGGUCUGUGGAAGGGAACUGCCUAAGCUCAUGGACAUAGAAAGGGGGUUUAUUGUGCUUACUUUUACAAAUUAUCUACUACAGGCAGAGUAGAAACCUUAAUAAGUACUGUACAAAUUUGUUUUGAUUCUUCUUUGUUAGGUUUUCUUUCCUUAGCAAUAUAUCAUUUUUUAUUAGAAUAUCUGCAGAAUAUUUCAGUUAUAAUAGGGCACAAAUUUUAUUCCACUGAACAUUUUUCAUUUUAUUUAGGUCAUAGAGUAGCUAUAAGCAUCAAACUUAAUUUUCCAUAUUUUAUAAAAACUCUAAAUCAAAAGUGUGAUACUUUCACUAAUUAUUUUGAUGUAACUUUUUAAAACUAUAUUACUUAUUUUAACAAAUGUUAAGAUCAUUCAUUAGAUAUUUUUAAACUCACUCCAUAUAAUAUUUCAAUGUCCUAAGAGUUCUUUUCUCUUUCCUUGUAGUUAUUCAUUCAUUGUUGGAUAUUUGCUNNNNNNNNNNNNNNNNNNNNNNNNNNNNNNNNNNNNNNNNNNNNNNNNNNNNNNNNNNNNNNNNNNNNNNNUUGUUUUUACUUUUUGUAAUAUGUUUUCCAUAUCCAAAGUCUUAAUUAUUUAUAAGUUUUCUUAGAUUGCAUUUAAAACAUUUUGUAUGGGUUUGUGUAAUAUUUACUGACACUACUCUCUGAUAAUCCAGAUAUUGUACAUGUAACUCCCAAACUAAAUGUUACUUCUUUAUCCUGCCAUCUCUAAAAUUAAAAAAAAGUUCUACUCAGUUAGCUAG
ensembl:lncRNA